ensembl:processed_transcript
UGACGGUGACGGCCACGGCGAAGGGCUAUGCGUCAGAGCCAUAGCAUACGCCGGCGUUUGACGCAGAAGUAUAAAUCAGCCUUAAGUCAAGAACCAAAUGAAGCACCAGAGUACAGAUUAUGGGGGUAUCUGAAGUUGAACUAACUGGAAGCAGGGAACCAUACUAAUGAAGUUCCUUGAGCAGGUUCCUUGUAAAGAUUAACCCAGGGAAGGAUCGAAAGUGGAGAAGACCAGAUCAAGAAAGACUACAUCAAGAUCUGCGGUCAGUUCAAAGGAUGUUUUGCAUUGGACUGUUUUUUUUGGCUUUGACCCUUGCUUGCCCCUGACCUCACUCUUGGACCGCCCUGUUGGAUUUUCAGUUUAUUUAAUUUAAAAAAAAUUUUUUGGUUCUGGGUAGAUGCUAAUAAAUAUUUAAUUGUAAUUAUUUAAUGUAAAUCAAAGGCGGCAACACCAAGGCUCCAAAAAUACAAAUUUAUUAAAUUAAAAAGGCUGACACAGAGCGUGAAACGUUUCGAGCCGCCGGCUCUUCAUCAGACAAAUUAUUUUUCGUUGUAAUUUUUUUAAUAUGUUUUUGUUAAAUAUGCGAUUUCUGUGUUUGUUCUGUCUACUCGUACUUGUUUAUCUUGUUUCUGUAAUUAUCAUUUGUUUAUUUGACCCUUGCCUCGCCUCUGAUCUUGUUUUUGGAUUGCCCUUUAUAUAUCUUUUUAAUUAUUGGUUCUAGUUAUAUGGUUAUAAAAUAUUUGUUAAUUUAAUUAAUAUGCAUUUUAUAAAAAAAAUAUAUAUAUAUAUUUUCUGUGUUUUUUUU